rnacentral:rRNA from 1 species
UGGGGAAUCUUGCACAAUGGGCGAAAGCCUGAUGCAGCGACGCCGCGUGCGCGAUGAAGUCCUUCGGGAUGUAAAGCGCUUUCGACGGGAACGAUAAUGACGGUACCCGGAGAAGAAGCUGCGGCUAACUACGUGCCAGCAGCCGCGGUAAUACGUAGGCAGCAAACGUUGUUCGGAGUUACUGGGCGUAAAGAGUGCGUAGGCGGUUCGGUAAGUUUGGUGUGAAAUCUCCCGGCUCAACUGGGAGGGUGCGCCGAAAACUGCCGGGCUAGAGUGCCGGAGAGGAAAGCGGAAUUCCUGGUGUAGCGGUGAAAUGCGUAGAUAUCAGGAGGAACACCCGUGGUGUAGACGGCUUUCUGGACGGCCACUGACGCUGAGGCACGAAAGCGUGGGGAGCAAACA